UUGUCAUCAAGCGAAUAGAAGAAAAGCUGGGUGGAUGGUAUACUCAGUUCCUCUCUCCAGCUGAAUUUUGGUGGGGAACAGAUAAUGGGAAGAGGAAAAUAUCGUGGGUAUCAUGGAAGCGUAUGUCUUUACCAAAAAAAGAAGGUGGCAUAGGAUUUAAAGACCUCCAUAAGUUUAACCUUGCUCUCUUAGCGAAACAGGCCUGGAAGAUUCUGAUCAACCCAUCCUCUUUACUGGCAAGAAUAUAUAAAGGGAGGUAUCAUAACUCAUCGAUGUUCUUAGAAUCGAUGAGUGGAGUACAACCGUCUUAUGGUUGGCGUUCAAUACAAGCAGGAAGGGGAAAGGAAAUGGGAUUCUGCUAAGCUGGAGCAACAUUUAACUGCUGAAGAUGCCCAACUAGCUAAGCAAAUUACCCUCUCUCGGUAUGCUCAAAAAGAUAGGUAUAUUUGGCCCUUCACAAAGAAUUGUGUUUACACUGUUAAAUCAG